CGGAGGGAAACCGAGUCUUAAUUGGGCGUUAAGUUGCAGGGUAUAGACCCGAAACCCGGUGAUCUAGCCAUGGGCAGGUUGAAGGUUGGGUAACACUAACUGGAGGACCGAACCGACUAAUGUUGAAAAAUUAGCGGAUGACCUGUGGCUGGGGGUGAAAGGCCAAUCAAACCGGGAGAUAGCUGGUUCUCCCCGAAAGCUAUUUAGGUAGCGCCUCGUGAAUUCAUCUCCGGGGGUAGAGCACUGUUUCGGCUAGGGGGCCAUCCCGGCUUACCAACCCGAUGCAAACUGCGAAUACCGGAGAAUGUUAUCACGGGAGACACACGGCGGGUGCUAACGUCCGUCGUGAAGAGGGAAACAACCCAGACCGCCAGCUAAGGUCCCAAAGUCAUGGUUAAGUGGGAAACGAUGUGGGAAGGCCCAGACAGCCAGGAUGUUGGCUUAGAAGCAGCCAUCAUUUAAAGAAAGCGUAAUAGCUCACUGGUCGAGUCGGCCUGCGCGGAAGAUGUAACGGGGCUAAACCAUGCACCGAAGCUGCGGCAGCGACGCUUAUGCGUUGUUGGGUAGGGGAGCGUUCUGUAAGCCUGUGAAGGUGUGUCGUGAGGCAUGCUGGAGGUAUCAGAAGUGCGAAUGCUGACAUAAGUAACGAUAAAGCGGGUGAAAAGCCCGCUCGCCGGAAGACCAAGGGUUCCUGUCCAACGUUAAUCGGGGCAGGGUGAGUCGACCCCUAAGGCGAGGCCGAAAGGCGUAGUCGAUGGGAAACGGGUUAAUAUUCCCGUACUUGGUGUUACUGCGAAGGGGGGACGGAGAAGGCUAUGUUGGCCGGGCGACGGUUGUCCCGGUUUAAGCGUGUAGGUGUGUGUUCCAGGUAAAUCCGGUUCACUUUAACACUGAGGCGUGAUGACGAGGCACUACGGUGCUGAAGUAACAAAUGCCCUGCUUCCAGGAAAAGCCUCUAAGCAUCAGGUAACAUCAAAUCGUACCCCAAACCGACACAGGUGGUCAGGUAGAGAAUACCAAGGCGCUUGAGAGAACUCGGGUGAAGGAACUAGGCAAAAUGGUGCCGUAACUUCGGGAGAAGGCACGCUGACACGUAGGUGAAGUGAUUUACUCAUGGAGCUGAAGUCAGUCGAAGAUACCAGCUGGCUGCAACUGUUUAUUAAAAACACAGCACUGUGCAAACACGAAAGUGGACGUAUACGGUGUGACGCCUGCCCGGUGCCGGAAGGUUAAUUGAUGGGGUCAGCGCAAGCGAAGCUCCUGAUCGAAGCCCCGGUAAACGGCGGCCGUAACUAUAACGGUCCUAAGGUAGCGAAAUUCCUUGUCGGGUAAGUUCCGACCUGCACGAAUGGCGUAAUGAUGGCCAGGCUGUCUCCACCCGAGACUCAGUGAAAUUGAACUCGCUGUGAAGAUGCAGUGUACCCGCGGCAAGACGGAAAGACCCCGUGAACCUUUACUAUAGCUUGACACUGAACAUUGAGCCUUGAUGUGUAGGAUAGGUGGGAGGCUUUGAAGUGUGGACGCCAGUCUGCAUGGAGCCGACCUUGAAAUACCACCCUUUAAUGUUUGAUGUUCUAACGUGGACCCGUUACCCGGGUUGCGGACAGUGUCUGGUGGGUAGUUUGACUGGGGCGGUCUCCUCCUAAAGAGUAACGGAGGAGCACGAAGGUUGGCUAAUCCUGGUCGGACAUCAGGAGGUUAGUGCAAUGGCAUAAGCCAGCUUGACUGCGAGCGUGACGGCGCGAGCAGGUGCGAAAGCAGGUCAUAGUGAUCCGGUGGUUCUGAAUGGAAGGGCCAUCGCUCAACGGAUAAAAGGUACUCCGGGGAUAACAGGCUGAUACCGCCCAAGAGUUCAUAUCGACGGCGGUGUUUGGCACCUCGAUGUCGGCUCAUCACAUCCUGGGGCUGAAGUAGGUCCCAAGGGUAUGGCUGUUCGCCAUUUAAAGUGGUACGCGAGCUGGGUUUAGAACGUCGUGAGACAGUUCGGUCCCUAUCUGCCGUGGGCGCUGGAGAACUGAGGGGGGCUGCUCCUAGUACGAGAGGACCGGAGUGGACGCAUCACUGGUGUUCGGGUUGUCAUGCCAAUGGCACUGCCCGGUAGCUAAAUGCGGAAGAGAUAAGUGCUGAAAGCAUCUAAGCACGAAACUUGCCCCGA
rnacentral:rRNA from 1 species